UACAGAGGGUGCGAGCGUUGUCCGGAAUCACUGGGCGUAAAGGGCGCGUAGGUGGCCCGACAAGUCAGUGGUGAAAGUUCGACGCUUAACGUCGAAUCGGCCACUGAUACUGUUGGGCUGGAGCACUGUAGAGGCUCAUGGAAUUCCGGGUGUAGCGGUGGAAUGCGUAGAGAUCCGGAAGAACACCGGUGGCGAAGGCGGGUUGCUGGGCCGACACUGACGCUGAUGCGCGAAAGCCAGGGGAGCGAACGGG
rnacentral:rRNA from 1 species